UACGUAGGGUGCAAGCGUUGUCCGGAAUUAUUGGGCGUAAAGAGCUCGUAGGCGGUCUGUCGCGUCGGAUGUGAAAAUCCAGGGCUCAACCCUGGACCUGCAUUCGAUACGGGCAGACUAGAGUUCGGUAGGGGAGACUGGAAUUCCUGAUGUAGCGGUGAAAUGCGCAGAUAUCAGGAGGAACACCGGUGGCGAAGGCGGGUCUCUGGGCCGAAACUGACGCUGAGGAGCGAAAGCGUGGGGAGCAAACAGG
rnacentral:rRNA from 1 species